GAAUUGGUGGUUCAGUGGUAGGAUGCUUGUCUUCCAUGCCAGAGACCUUGGUUCAGGUCCUGGCCAGUGCA
rnacentral:tRNA from 1 species